ACGGGCAGUGAUGUAUAAUCGAUAGGCGACACAAACCAGCAGUGAUGUAUAAUCGAUAGGCGACGCAAACCAGCAGUGAUGUAGAAUCGGUAGGCGACGCAAACCAGCAAUGAUGUAGAAUCAGUAGGCGGGGCAAAGAGAGAGUGAUGUAGAAUCGGUAGGCGGGGCAAAUAGGCAGUGAUGUAGAAUCGGUAGGCGGGGUAAACAGGCAGUGAUGUAGAAUCGGUAGGCGGGGCAAACAGGCAGUGAUGUAGAAUCGGUAGGCGGGGAAAACAGGCAGUGAUGUAGAAUCAGUAGGUGGGGCAAACAGGCAGUGAUGUAGAAUCGGUAGGCGGGGCAAACAGGCAGUGAGGUAGAAUCGGUAGAAGAGGGUAACAGGCAGUGAGGUAGAAUCGGUAGGCGGGGCUAACAGGCAGUGAGGUAGAAUUGGUAGGCGGGGCUAACAGGCAGUGAGGUAGAAUCGGUAGGCGGGGCUAACAGGCAUUGAUGUAGAAUCGGUAGGCGGGGUAAAGAGGCAGUGAUGUAGAAUCGGUAGGAGGGGCAAACAGGCAGUGAUUUAGAAUCGGUAGGAGGGGAAAACAGGCAGUGAUGUAGAAUCGGUAUGAGGGGCAAACAGGCAGUGAGGUAGAAUCGGUAGGCGUGGCUAACAGGCAGUGAUGUAGAAUCGGUAGGUGGGGCAAACAGGCAUUGAUGUAGAAUCGGUAUGCGGCGCAAACCGGCAGUGAUGUAGAAUCGGUAGGCGGGGAAAACAGGGAGUGAUGUAGAAUCGGUAGGAGGGGCAAACAGGCAGUGAUGGAGAAUCGGUAGGAGGGGCAAACAGGCAGUGAGGUAGAAUCGGUAGGAGCGGCAAACAGGCAGUGAUUUAGAAAAGGUAGGUGGCGCAAACAGGCAGUGAUUUAGAAUCGACAGGCGGAACAAACCGGCGGUGAUGUAUAAUCGAUGGGCGAAGCAAACAGGCAGUGAUGUAGAAUCAGUAGGCGAAGCAAACAGGCAGUGAUGUAGAAUCAGUUGGCGAAGCAAACAGACAAUGAUGUAGAAUCGGUAGGCGAAGCAAACAGGCAGUGAUUUAGAAUUGGUAGGUGGCGCAAACGGGCAGUGAUUUAUAAUCGGUAGGUGGCGCAAACGGGCAGUGAUUUAUAAUCGAUAGGCGAAGCAAACAGACAAUGAUGUAGAAUUGGUAGGCGAAGCAAACAGACAAUGAUGUAGAAUCGGUAGGCGGCGCAAACAGGCAGUGAUGUAGAAUCGGUAGACGGCGCAAACAGGCAGUGAUGUAGAAUCGGUCGGAGGGUCAAACAGGCAUUGAUGUAGAAUCGGUAGGCGAAACAAACAAAAUUAUUUAGAAUCGGUAGGCGGCGCAAACUGGCAGUGAUGUAGAAUCGGUAGGCGGCGCAAACGGGCAGUGAUUUAUAAUCGAUAGGCGGGGCAAACAGGCAGUGAUGUAGAAUCGGUAUGCGGCGCAAACCGGCAGUGAUGUAGAAUCGGUAGGUGGGGCAAACAGGGAGUGAUGUAGAAUCGGUAGGAGGGGCAAACAGGCAGUGAGGUAGAAUCGGUAGGAGCGGCAAACAGGCAGUGAUUUAGAAACGGUAGGUGGCACAAACAGGCAGUGAUGUAGAAUCGGUAGGUGGCGCAAACAUGCAGUGAUUGUAAAAUCGACAGGCGGAACAAACCGGCGGUGAUGUAUAAUCGAUGGGCGAAGCAAACAGGCAGUGAUGUAGAAUCAGUAGGCGAAGCAAACAGGCAGUGAUGUAGAAUCAGUAGGCGAAGCAAACAGGCAGUGAUGUAGAAUCAGUUGGCGAAGCAAACAGGCAGUGAUUUAGAAUUGGUAGGUGGCGCAAACGGGCAGUGAUUUAUAAUCGGUAGGUGGCGCAAACGGGCAGUGAUUUAUAAUCGAUAGGCGAAGCAAACAGACAAUGAUGUAGAAUUGGUAGGCGAAGCAAACAGACAAGGAUGUAGAAUCGGUAAGCGAAACAAACAGAAAAUGAUUUAGAAUCGGUAGGCGAAACAAACAAAAUGAUUUAGAAUCGGUAGGCGGCGCAAACUGGCAGUGAUGUAGAAUCGGUAGGCGGCGCAAACGGGCAGUGAUUUAUAAUCGAUAGGCGGGGCAAACAGGCAGUGAUGUAGAAUCGGUAGGAGGGGCAAACAGGCAGUAAUGUAGAAUCGUUAGGCGAAGCAAACAGACAAUGAUGUAGAAUCGGUAGGCGAAACAAACAAAAAAUUAUUUAGAAUCGGUAGGCAGCGCAAACUGGCAGUGAUGUAGAAUCGGAAGGAGGGGCAAACAGGCAGUGAUGUGGAAUUGGUAGGCGAAACAAACAGAAAAUGAUUUAGAAUCGGUAGGCGGCGCAAACAGGCAGUGAUGUAGAAUCGGUAGGAGGGGCAAACAGGCAGUAAUGUAGAAUCGUUAGGCGAAGCAAACAGACAAUGAUGUAGAAUCGGUAGGCGAAACAAACAAAAAAUUAUUUAGAAUCGGUAGGCAGCGCAAACUGGCAUUGAUGUAGAAUCGGAAAGAGGGGCAAACAGGCAGUGAUGUGGAAUCGGUAGGCGAAACAAACAGAAAAUGAUUUAGAAUCGUUAGGCGAAGCAAACAGACAAUGAUGUAGAAUCGGUAGGCGGCGCAAACAGGCAGUGAUGUAGAAUCGGUAGGUGGCGCAAACAGGCAGUGAUGUGGAAUCGGUAGGCGGCGCAAACAGGCAGUGAUGUGGAAUCGGUAGGUGGCGCAAACAGGCAGUGAUGUGGAAUCGGUAGGCGGCGCAAACAGGCAGCGAUGUAGAAUCGGUAGGAGGGGCAAACAGGCAGUGAUGUGGAAUCGGUAGGCGGCGCAAACAGGCAGCGAUGUAGAAUCGGUAGGCGAGGCAAAGAGGCAGUGAUGUAGAAUCGGUAGGAGGGGCAAACAGGCAGUGAUGUAGAAUCGGUAGGUGGCGCAAACAGGUAGUGAUGUGGAAUCGGUAGGAGGCGCAAACAGGUAGUGAUGGAGAAUUGGUAGGAAAGGGGAAAACAGGCAGUGAUGUAGAAUCAGUAGGCAGCACAAACAGGAAGUGAUGGAGGAGGAGUGAAAUACACAUAGAAAAGAUGGUCAGUUCUGACCUCUUCAAGUGGCAUGGAUACCAACGAGAUCAAAGGCGGAUAUCACAUUAUUCACAAAGUAAUUCAUUUUGCUUUAAUACUAAUGUGUAUUUUAGAUUUUUAUAGAAAUAUGACAACAAUCAUCUCUCACAAAGAGAUCGCACUGUCAUAGUGUUUGGGAAUAUUCAUAUAAAACCAGUUAAAAAAAAUAUAUAUAUAUAUAUAUAUUUUUUUAGAAGAGAACACAGCAUCACAGUUGUCUGAACCAAUGAGCAUUAAGCUGUAUCAUCAGUCAGUCAAUUCCCAUCAUGCAUUUGAUCAGCGCAGUCGGUGGAGAGCAACUCGCCGUCAUGACAGUUUUUUGGCACACUGCAGCAUAACAUCAGGGCAAGUCAGACGUACCUCGGACACUUUUCUAACCAGCAUGUAUCUUGCGGAUGAUCACGGGUGAUCGGCUCUGCACCGAUUUUUCUCAUCUCAAAUGAGCUUAUUGAUCAUCUUCUGUGGUGGCGGUGCUCAGAACAUCCCACAUUCGUUUUGACAGACCGUCUUCAAUAUCAGCUGUUUUUAGAGUAACAACAAAGUUUUGAGUUCUGUAACUUACAGGAUGUCUUCAUAGAACAAAAGAUCAAGGGAAUUUUAGUUUCUCAGUUCAUGACCCAAUUAAUUAGUAUGCUUUCAGGAAUAUUCUCACAUUUCUGAUUUGUGUGUCAGGAGUGGAGGAAGCGUGAUAUUGUCAGUCUGUGUGGUCACACAACAUCAGAACUGAGACACAUAUGCUGAAGUCUGUUCUCACACACACAUACACACACACACACACAUGAGAUCAGAUCGGCUCACUGAUGGGGGUCUAUAGUGAGCCAGAGGGGGAAAAUAAAUGCAAUUGUCACUGUGUCUUUUCCUCCUGCACUAUAAUUCCCGCCAGCAGACAAAUAAUUGAUGGUUUAGAGCCAGGAAAAAGGAUGGAAAGACUGCAAUUUCCAAUUUUAUUCCAUUUGCUCAGUCUUUCUCUCUCUCUCUCUCUCUCUCUCUCUAUGCUCUGU